UUAGCGGGCUGAUAUGAAAAGUUUAUCACAUGCUUCGAUUGUUAUCACAUGCCUUUCCGUAACGUUAUCACAUAGCAUUCCGGUGAUACUCGGCAAAUUCCGGAAAAUACACCUCAAUGCUACGUUUUCAGUGAAAAACAUUACGAAAUAGUGUACAAAACAAUUAUUUAGAUACUGAAAAGUAUAAAGUGUAAAAUAAUAACAAAAAACAAAAAAAAAAAAAAACCAAACAAACAAAAUUUAAAAAACAAACAAACAAAUUAUUAAAUAAAUGCAUUCUUUAUAUUUUUCAAACAUAAUUUAGAAAAUUACUUUGAAAAAAGUUGACUUUUCCAAACAGUGUUCAUUAUGUUUAUUGUUGUUUGUUGCUUUUUUUUUGGUUUGUCGAGUCGUCCAUAUUAAAAAUGUGUUCUCCUCUGUUGAGGCAUAUGGUAGAAAGAUUUGAUAUCGAAUGUACUAAAUUUGGGUCGAACGUCCGUGAACUUUUCAAUCUUUGAACUUCUAUUUGGGAACCACGUCAAAGGAUCAAUAUAUGAAUCUGUUAUUUUACUCCAAUGCCAUGUAAUAAUAUCAGAUUAUUACAUGACAUUUUUCAUAUCGCAUGUAUUAUCAGCCCUAGGUUCAAUAUCAGCCCAAGAGCCGCAUGGCUCGAGGGCUGAUAUUGACUGAGGGCUGAUAAUACAUGCGAUAUGAAAAAUGACAUGUUAUGAUCUUUUUAUCAUAUGCUUCAACAGUGGAGAAAAAUAACAGAUUCAUAUAUUGAUUCUUCUACGUGGUUCCCGAAAAGAAGUUGAAAGAGUAAAAAGUUCACGGACGUCGGACCCAAAAUUUGAUACAUUCAAUAUGAAAUCUUUCCAUCAUAUGCC
rnacentral:lncRNA from 1 species